rnacentral:misc_RNA from 1 species
GAUGAAGAACGCAGCGAAAUGCGAUAAGUAAUGUGAAUUGCAGAAUCCAGUGAAUCAUCGAGUCUUUGAACGCACAUUGCGCCCCCUGGUAUUCCGGGGGGCAUGCCUGUCCGAGCGUCAUUGCUGCCCUCAAGCACGGCUUGUGUGUUGGGCCUCCGUCCUCCUCCCGGGGGACGGGCCCGAAAGGCAGCGGCGGCACCGCGUCCGGUCCUCGAGCGUAUGGGGCUUCGUCACCCGCUCUUGUAGGCCCGGCCGGCGCUUGCCGACACAUCAAUCUUUUUUCCAGGUUGACCUCGGAUCAGGUAGGGAUACCCGCUGAACUUAAGCAUAUCAAUAAGCGGAGGA